AAUCUCUUUUACAGAAACUUAAAAAAAAAAGUAAGAAGGAAAAAAGACAUUCAUGUUUGAUCUGGGACUAAGCCAGUGUCAACGUGACUGAUGAUGGGAACACUGAUGAUAUGUUGGCAACGUGAGAGGCCAUGCAGUACUGGGAGCACUCACGUGGGGAAUGGAGUAUGAAGUGGGACACAGGGCUUUACUCUGCAGGUCUAUGAAGAAAUACAUCUGCAGAGCAUUGCAGCCAAGAGAAUCAUGUGGCAAG
rnacentral:lncRNA from 1 species